GAUGAACGCUAGCUACAGGCUUAACACAUGCAAGUCGAGGGGAAACGAUGAGAGAGCUUGCUCUCUUAGUCGUCGACCGGCGCACGGGUGAGUAACGCGUAUCCAACCUGCCUCUGACCAAGGGAUAACCCGUCGAAAGUCGGACUAAUACCUUAUGCAGUCGUCGGAAGUCAUCUGAUGACGACGAAAGAUUUCAUCGGUGAGAGAUGGGGAUGCGUCUGAUUAGCUUGUUGGCGGGGUAACGGCCCACCAAGGCGACGAUCAGUAGGGGUUCUGAGAGGAGGGUCCCCACAUUGGAACUGAGACACGGUCCAAACUCCUACGGGAGGCAGCAGUGAGGAAUAUUGGUCAAUGGGCGUAAGCCUGAACCAGCCAAGUAGCGUGCAGGAUGACGGCCCUAUGGGUUGUAAACUGCUUUUAUGCGGGGAUAAAGUGAGGGACGUGUCCUUCAUUGCAGGUACCGCAUGAAUAAGGACCGGCUAAUUCCGUG
rnacentral:rRNA from 1 species